GGGAGAGGAAGAUGGAGUGUGUUGUCCCACUGUUCUUCAGAGGAGCUGGUGUGAGGCCAUCAUUGAACAUGCUGAUACUUCUGCUCUUUCUGAGGCCUGAUUCUGGACUUGAUGCACUGGUCUUGCAAACUCCCAGCAGGGCUAUCCUUAAGAGUGGAACCUCUGUGAAGAUCGAGUGUCGCUGUGUGGACCUGCAGGCCACAACCAUGUUUUGGUAUCAUCAACUCCCAAAACAGAGCUUCACACUCAUGGCAACUUCCAAUGCGGCCUCCAAGGCUGCCUAUGAACAGGGUUUUACUGAAGCCAAGUUUCCCAUCAGUCACCCAAACCUGACCUACUCAUCUCUGGAAGUGACAAACGCUCAUGCUGAAGACAGCAGCUUCUACUUCUGUGGUGCUAGUGACACGGCGCUGGGCUGA